UACGAAGGGGGCUAGCGUUGCUCGGAAUCACUGGGCGUAAAGCGCACGUAGGCGGAUUGUUAAGUCAGGGGUGAAAUCCUGGAGCUCAACUCCAGAACUGCCUUUGAUACUGGGGAUCUCGAGUCCGGAAGAGGUGAGUGGAACUCCGAGUGUAGAGGUGAAAUUCGUAGAUAUUCGGAAGAACACCAGUGGCGAAGGCGGCUCACUGGUCCGGUACUGACGCUGAGGUGCGAAAGCGUGAGGAGCAAACAGG
rnacentral:rRNA from 1 species